rnacentral:rRNA from 1 species
CACACGUGUUUCAGAGCGCGAUAUAUGCUUGUCUCAAAGAUUGAGCCAUGCAUGUGUAAGUACACACAGCCGGUACAGUGACACUGCGAAUGCCUCAUUAAAUCAGCUAUGGUUUCUUUGAUCUCUCCAUCUUUUACAUGGAUAACAGUGGUAAUUCUAGAGCUAGUACAUGGCGACGAGCGCUGACCUUCCGGGAUGCAUGUAUUUAUCAGACCAAUCUGGGCUCACCCGGUCAAUUUUGUGACUCUAGAUAACCUUGGGCAGAUCGCACGUCCCUGUGAUGACAACAAUACAUUCAGAUGUCUGCCCUAUCAAUUUCUGAUGGUACUUUCUGUGCCUACCAUGGUGACCACGUUUAUCGGGAAUCAAGCUUUGAUUCCAGAGAGGGAGCCUGAGAAAUGGCUACCACAUCCAAAGAAGGCAGCAGGCGUGCAAAUUGCCCACUCCCGACUCUGGGAGGUAGUGACGAAAAAUAACAAUACAGGUCUCUUUUGAGGCCCUGUAAUUGGAAAGAGUACACUUCAAAUCCUUUAACGAAGAUCCAUUGGGGGGCAAGUCUGGUGCCAGCAGCCGCAGUAAUUCCUACUCCAAUAGCGUAUAUUCAAGUGGCUGCAGUUAAAUGGUUAAAUGGCUCGUAGUUGGAGUUUGGGAUUGUUUUGGUGGGUCGCUGCAAUGCAAGCUACCGCCUGUCCAAGGCCCUGCCUCUUGGCACCCCCUUGAUGCUCUUGACUGAGUAUCUUGGGGGUCCAAAGCAUUUACUUUUGAAAAACAUAGUGUUCAAAGCAGGCCGGUUGCCGGAAAACGUCAGCUACGAAUAAUGGAAAGGACUCUAUUUUGUUCGUUUUCAGAACGAGAGCCAUGACUACGAGGGAUGGCCGAGGGCAUUUAUAUUGUGCUGCUAAAAGUGAAAUUUCUGGACGGCGCAAGACAAACCAAAAUGAAAGCAUUUGCCAAGAAUGUUUUCAUUAAUCAAGAAUGAAAGUCGGAGGUUUGAAGACGAUCAGAGAUCAUUGUAGUUCUAUCCAUAAAUGAUGGCAGCGUUAUUCCCAUGACCUGCAGAGUAGCUUCAGAGAAAGCAAAGUCUUUGAGUUCUGGGGGGAGUAUGGUUACACAGCUGAAACUUAAAGAAUUAACAGAAGGGCACCACUACGACCACUGUGACUCAACACACGAAAUCACACCCAGACACGGAAAGAAUUGAUCAAUUGAAAGCUCUUUCUCUAUCUGUGGGUGAUGGUGCAUGGUCAUUCUUAGUUGGUGGAGCGAUUUGUCUGGUUAAUUCUGAUAACGAAGGAGACUCCUCCAUCCUAACUAGUUAUGCGACCCUCAGCAGUCGGCGUUGAACUUCUUAGAUUGAAAAGCGGCGCUCAGCCACACAAGAUCGGCCAAUAACCUGUCUGUGAUGCCGUUAGAUGUCCGGGCUGCAUGUGCGCUACACUGAAUGGAUCAGUGUGUCGGCAAUGGCCCUGGCAGUGCACCGAGAAUAUGAUCAAACUUGACUAUCUAGAGGAAGUAAGUCAUAACAAGGUUUCCGUAGGUGAACCAGACAUGGGUCAGGC